GGUCUUUAAUAAAAAAAAAAAAUAUUGUAUACUAAAAAUGUUAUUUUUAAUGACUAUGGUGAUAAACAUUUUUUAGAAUAAGCUUAGCGGACCCGGGGGCGGUACCCGGCGCCUCCACCAUUUUAUGGGGGCGAAAUAGGAUCGACGCGUGUAGUAAAAAUUAAACUUUCACUCGGCAUUGU
rnacentral:tmRNA from 1 species